AUUUUGUUUUCUCUCCUUCCCGUUUCUGUGCCGGUCACCCUGCUUGUUUGGUGUUUGUCAUUUCAAGAAGUGUUAUUCAUGAAAAGUAGCGGGUUGUGAACUACAAAAUAGGUGACUCAAAGAUGUCUCGGUACCGAGAUUCUGGUAAUGCAGACUGCAAGAUUUAUGUUGGAGAUUUAGGAUCAUCCGCUUCAAAACAAGAUUUGGAAGAAGCAUUUUCUUAUUAUGGACCGAUCCGUAAUGUUUGGGUGGCCAGAAACCCACCCGGCUUUGCAUUUGUUGAAUUUGAAGACCCCAGAGAUGCAGAGGAUGCAGUACGAGGUUUGGACGGAAGGACUGUGUGUGGCCGACGUGUGAGGGUAGAGAUGUCUAACGGAGCUCGAAAGAGUGGUUAUCGAGGUCCGCCACCUCGCCGCAGCCGCCCGUUCCACCCGGAGGAUCGCUGCUAUGAGUGUGGCGAGCGUGGACAUUACGCUCGGGACUGCACACGCUACCGAGGCCGAGGAAGGAGAAGGUCAUAUAGUCGUAGCAGGUCUCGCUCACGCUCUCGUGACCGCCGCACUCGUAGCCGCAGCGCCUCUCGCAGUAGAUCCCGUGGCCGCAGCAAGUCACGCACACCCAAGGACCGCAGCAAGAGCAAGUCCAGGUCCAGGUCCCGUUCGCGCAGCAGGUAAACAAAUCGCCCAGAGCCAACUGAACAUCUAGUAUAACGUUCCAAACCAUCUGCAAAACAGUCAAAUUGCUGUACACACUCAUUUGGAACAACUGGAUGUCCAUGAAGUUAUACCACCUCAUUCAGUGUAGUUUUACCUUGAUGGCAUAAGUAUUAGAAUAUCAAUGUUGUAUUUUGACUAUUUUGUACUAAGUUUGUUUCAACAUGCUUGUAAUCAUUUUAAUUUUUUAUAGUUUGUCAGUUCUAAGUUUUGUUCUCAAGUGGGGAGGAAAUUAAUGUCUUUAAAUGCAAUAAAGGACUCCAUUUACCUAAUGAAGUAUAAUGAUUUGAAGUUUUUUAAUAUUGAAAAAUAUUGACAACUCUCACACAACUUCCUGUGUCGAUAAAUUGGGUUUUUUCCUCAUGCUAGAUUCCCAAUAUUCUUAUACUUAAAGAUAUUAGUUAUCUCUACAUUUGAACAGUUUUUGACAAGGUUUAAUCCUACCUAAUAUACGACCUAAAUAGGCAUAUUGUAUUUUUUGUCUUGAUUUUAAAUAAUAACUUAGUUGUGCAAUUGUUUGGGCAUUUUUGGUAUUCUUAAGUAAAAUAUUCAUCUUUGAAGUUGACCCUUUUACAUACUUGUUUUGUCAAAGUAUGUAUAAUGGUUUUGACGGAAAUUUAAAUGUAUGAAUUUGUACUGAAAUUGUUUCAGCCCUCUCUCUAUAUUGUGGUUUUAAUGUACAGUACAAAUAAAACCUUUUCAAAAGUUAUAAUUAUGUUCCAUUAUAUGUCUGUUUUGAGCUUGAAACUCUACUAGCUAAGAACUGUGUUAUUAUUUGAAUUAUGUAAUAAUAAAAGGUACAUUUCCUCA